GCUGGGGCUCAGAGGUAGAGCACUUGCCUGGCAUGUGCGAGACACUGGGUUCGAUUCUCAGCACAGCA
rnacentral:tRNA from 1 species